UCCUUGCUCUUCUCUCCGCCCCCCUCCCCCAACCAGGGGUGUCGACCGACCGCUGGCUGCGGGGUUUGCCCGGGACUGCCUGGGACCGCCGGGGCCUGAAAACUGCGUAAAUGUGGGUGCAGGCACUACAGGAGGAAAUUCUUUCUUCUUCAAAAUAUCCAGUAUGAACUCUAUCCAGUGUGCUCCCCAGCAGACCUGGAACUGUACCAGAAGUACUUCCAGUCCACUUCCGGGUUCACCACUGAGCACCUGGUGGGGGCCCCCUGCGCUCCUGUGUGACUUUCCAUCUGCCCCACCAUCACAGCAUUCACAAGCCACAUCUGGUACCUCAAGCUUUAUGACGUCAGUUUCAACUUUACAACACUUGAUCCGAUGUGAUGUCACUCCAGUGAAUAAGUUCCUUGCAUCACUCAUCUCCCUGGAGAACAUCUGUCCAAACUUCCUUGGACACUUUCUUUAAGAAAGAAGACAAGACUCUAGAAAAACCUGCAGCCAAGACUCCUGAGAAGACUCCAGCCAAGAAACCUUCAAAAAGUCCAACCAAGAGCCUUUCAAAAAGUCCAGCAAAGUCACCUCAAACAAGUUCUUCCAAAUCGAUAUGAUUGCUAUUUACAAUAUAACUACAUUAAUGUAGCUAUAUUACUUAUGUAUAAUUGAUCAAGUACAAAAUUCUGGGGUAUUUUUGGUGAAAAUAGGGUAUACGGCCUUAAUUCAGGAACAAAUCCCCCAUUUAUAACAUUGUUUCUUAUGAGAAAAUUGGUUCCAAGUUACAAUGUUUCGACUUAAGACCAGAUUUUCAGGAACCAAUUGUGUCAUAAGUCUGAGGACUGCCUGUACAUUUUCUUACUGUCCUAAGGUACCAGCCAAUUCAAAUUUACUUCCUAUCCUUGAGACAAUUCCUAUUCCAUUACAGGCAUUGGGCCUGAAUUAUUAAACUGAAUCUAAAACAAAGAGUUGAAUGCCACAAAAUGGAUCUUCUUUUGUAAUAGUUGGUAUUGUGAUGGCAUUACUUUUGAGAACCCAGAUUUGUUGCAUUCUAAACUAGUGCCUCAAUCACAGUAUUUACUUAUAAAUAUAUAACACAGCAUCUGCUCUGUCCUCUUUUCUGCACACUUGCAACAAAGACUAGAACCACACAGAUUAUAGACGUUUUUCUGUACGUUGAUAAAAUACAUUUAUUUUCCUUUCUAAUCUCUGCUAUCUCAGUGAGUCUAAAUCAUUCCUGUGAAGCAUCUUAUUCUCUUGUGCUGUGUAUAUGUUGGCUCUCAAAAUUGAUGCAAUGUAGUACAUCUUAGAGUGGGCCUGUGUAGGGUCUAUGUCCAACCCUCCACAAUGACUGUUUGCUCUUGGCAUGCUUAUCGGUGUAAAUUCAAAGCCACUCUAAGGAAGCUACAUUACCUCAUUUCCAGAAUUUGGUCAUGAGUGAGCAGGGCAAGUUGCACAGUGGCACAUCUGGUUGUGGCACAGAAAUGGUAUAGGCAUGAAUGAAAAAGUGUCUCUGAAAACUUCUGGUCCAGCAGUCCUCAAAAGCAGCAAAGACAAUAGCAAAAGAAUGAAUGAUUUUUCUCUUUUCUGAGUCUUGGCCUUCUGUGUCUUCUGUUAUCUCAGAACAAAAUAAUGGGAGCCGUUUCCUCAGCUUACCAAUCCCAGUACUUUUUAUCUGGCAUUUUAUUUAGCAUACCAACCGUGGUCUAGGUUUUGACUUGUAGAAGGAGCACAGAUUCCCAGUAAUGUAAGAAGCUGAAAGAAUGUCUUGACUAGGAAAACUAUGGGUGCAUGUACACGCCACGAGAUUUUCCCUUUCAGGUGGUGCCAUUGUGUUUCUGUUUGCAUGAGUGGGAUUUUCUUCUGUUUUAAAAAUCUUUUGGGCAUGUUAAAGUAAAACUGCUCAGACGUAGUUUAGUUUGGGCCGCCACCAAUUACAUCAUCGUAUCUAUGGAUUUGUUGCACGCAAACACAAGGGCACUCAAAGAUGUGGAAUCAGAAAAAAAUAAAUGCCUUAAACUUUGAUCAUACGAGUUAUAAGAUGACAUAACCGCUUUGUGGGGAAUUGCUGGCUCUGUAUAGUAGAACAGAUAAGGGAAAGUGUUUGUUCUUUGUAACUCCUCUGCAACUGCUUCGCUCACCGUGGCCUUGAAGAUAGCAGAAAAAAAAAGUAUGUACAACUCUGAUUUCCAGGUGCAGGAAGGGAGUGUUAUUUCUUCCUUUGUCUCCCCUAUAGUUCUCAUCCUGAUAACAGCAAAGAAGUAAUGAGGUAAUGUUUGUAGCUGCUUUUCUAGCUAAUUCCACUAUAUGAUCAUGUGAGUUGUAAGCGACUAUUAAAAAGUAUAUAAGCCUCCUGAUUUUGCUCUUGGGGGGGAACCCCUUCCAAGUGCUUGGGAAAUCCAUGUCACUUUGGAGUCCCCCCUACAGAUGUAGUUUCAUUUGAAUAAAAGCUUCUGCUGACCUGACCCAAAAGUAUGCUGUGUGUGUUUCCACGACAAAGACUUGUAAUUGUCUUCUUUUACCACCAGGUGACACUGUGAUAUUUCUGUAGUUCAGGCCUUUACCCACUAGGUGCUGCUUUUGAUUACUGCUGCUAUUUAUUUAUUUAUUUAUUAUAGUCUCUGCUCAUCCCUCCUUCCCACUGCUCCCACAGCUGACUGCAGGCAGGGCAGGGUGCGGAGAGGAUCUCAUAUUGCUGUCCUGUACCAAUCCUUAUAUAGAAAGAAAAAAAUUGAGUACUAAGCCAAUAAACCCUCAGCCAACACUGUGGUAUACUACCCCCUAGUAUUGGUCGUACCUAUGCUCAUCCCACCACCGGCCCUGUGUGUCUUACCCACACCCCUGCACCCAGCAUGGUGUUCUAAACUGUGGGGCACAGCAGUAGCAAAUGUUUACAACUGAGGAAGUGUGGCAACUCUUCUUAACACUUUAAAAUUUCAGGGUAACUUUCCUAUUUCUUAUAACUGCCAUUGCCAUUUCAGAAAAUACACAAUGAAUAGUACAGGUGGAUGCUGCAUGCCAGACCCACCCACCAGGAUAUAAAGCAUAUAUAGGUAAUUUCAAAAAUAUCCUACUGACUUUGGGGGAGGUGAAGAGGGUGGUGUUUGGACUGUGGGCCAAAACCUGUUCUUUUUUUUUUUCCCUGCAGAAGACUUUUGAGAAAAGAGAUUGAAAAGAAUGAAAAAAUGAAAGAACAGAGUAAAUAAUAGUAGAAUAGAAAUAGAUAUACAUACAAUAAUUAGUUAUUGUCUAUUUAUAAGUAAAUAGUGUAUAUAUAGGGUGCAGGGAAGGAAAUUCUACAUUCCUUUUUUUCUACUUUUUACUACUUUGCAAUUUAUUUAUUUUUUUAAAACAAUUACUCCUUUUUUAUGAAAAAAAUCAUGUACAUGCACCACAAUUUUAAUUUUGAAAUAAAUUUUUUGAAAUUUA